rnacentral:rRNA from 1 species
CCUACGGGUGGCUGCAGUGAGGAAUAUUGGUCAAUGGGAGAGAUCCUGAACCAGCCAAGCCGCGUGAGGGAAGACGGCCCUAUGGGUUGUAAACCUCUUUUGUCGGGGAACAAAACCCGGGACGAGUCCCGUUCUGCGUGUAUCCGAAGAAAAAGCAUCGGCUAACUCCGUGCCAGCAGCCGCGGUAAUACGGAGGAUGCGAGCGUUAUCCGGAUUUAUUGGGUUUAAAGGGUGCGUAGGCGGUCUGUUAAGUCAGCGGUAAAAUUCCGGGGCUCAACCCCGUCGAGCCGUUGAAAAUGGCAGACUUGAGUUGGCGAGAGGUAGGCGGAAUGCGCGGUGUAGCGGUGAAAUGCAUAGAUAUCAGGAAGAACACCGGCGGCGAAGGCAGCCUGCUGGGCUGAGACUGACGUUGAGGCUCGAAAGCGUGGGGAGCAAACAGGAUUAGAUACCCGAGUAGUC